rnacentral:rRNA from 1 species
GACGAACGCUGGCGGCGUGCUUAACACAUGCAAGUCGAACGGUAAGGCCCUUCGGGGUACGCGAGUGGCGAACGGGUGAGUAACACGUGGGUGAUCUGCCCUGCACUUCGGGAUAAGCCUGGGAAACUGGGUCUAAUACCGGAUAGGACUCCGGACUGCAUGGUCUGGGGUGGAAAGCUUUUGCGGUGUGGGAUGGGCCCGCGGCCUAUCAGCUUGUUGGUGGGGUGAUGGCCUACCAAGGCGACGACGGGUAGCCGGCCUGAGAGGGUGACCGGCCACACUGGGACUGAGAUACGGCCCAGACUCCUACGGGAGGCAGCAGUGGGGAAUAUUGCACAAUGGGCGCAAGCCUGAUGCAGCGACGCCGCGUGAGGGAUGACGGCCUUUGGGUUGUAAACCUCUUUCAGCAUCGACGAAGCGAAAGUGACGGUAGGUGCAGAAGAAGGACCGGCCAACUACGUGCCAGCCGCCGCGGUAA